UCGCGGCCUAUCAGCUUGUUGGUGAGGUAACGGCUCACCAAGGCAUCGACGGGUAGCUGGUCUGAGAGGAUGAUCAGCCACACUGGGACUGAGACACGGCCCAGACUCCUACGGGAGGCAGCAGUGGGGAAUAUUGCACAAUGGGCGCAAGCCUGAUGCAGCGACGCCGCGUGGGGGAUGAAUGCCUUCGGGUUGUAAACCCCUUUCAGGAGGGACGAAGCGAAAGUGACGGUACCUCCAGAAGAAGCCCCGGCCAACUACGUGCCAGCAGCCGCGGUAAUACGUAGGGGGCGAGCGUUGUCCGGAUUUAUUGGGCGUAAAGAGCUCGUAGGCGGCUCAACAAGUCGGCCGUGAAAGCCUGAGGCUCAACCUCAGGACGCCGGUCGAAACUGUUGUGGCUAGGGUUCGGUAGAGGAGAGUGGAAUUCCCGGUGUAGCGGUGAAAUGCGCAGAUAUCGGGAGGAACACCAGUAGCGAAGGCGGCUCUCUGGGCCGACACCGACGCUGAGGAGCGAAAGCUAGGGGAGCAAACAGGAUUAGAUACCCUGGUAGUCCUAGCCGUAAACGUUGGGUACUAGGUGUGGCGGAUUCAUUGACAUCUGCCGUGCCGAAGCUAACGCAUUAAGUACCCCGCCUGGGGAGUACGGA
rnacentral:rRNA from 1 species